CAGCUGUGGUCCUUCCUCCCUGACGGAAAUGCCAGUUUUGCCUGUACUGGAGCAAACCAUGGCUGGCCACAAGCAAACACGGCUGCGGGUGAAGGCCAGCAGAGAAAGAAUGACAUCAUGAAACCCGAGAGAGAACGCAAACACCAAGCCAGCACCAUGUGCAGGGUGGAACAGUGCUGGUGCCAGUCCCAGUGCCACAGAUAUAACCUCUUUGGAUGCAUGCCAUUCCAUGCCCAGCUACUUAAAACGUUUUUGCUUAAAAGAGUUUGCUACUGUAAGCAGGCUAUACAUAGGUAGGUAAACUUGCACGUCAAGAUCCAGG